UACGGGGGGGGCAAGCGUUGUUCGGAAUUACUGGGCGUAAAGGGCUCGUAGGCGGCCAACUAAGUCAGACGUGAAAUCCCUCGGCUUAACCGGGGAACUGCGUCUGAUACUGGAUGGCUUGAGGUUGGGAGAGGGGUGCGGAAUUCCAGGUGUAGCGGUGAAAUGCGUAGAUAUCUGGAGGAACACCGGUGGCGAAGGCGGCAUCCUGGACCAAUUCUGACGCUGAGGAGCGAAAGCCAGGGGAGCAAACGGG
rnacentral:rRNA from 1 species